rnacentral:lncRNA from 1 species
GUCAGCUAAAUCUUAAAUGAAACAGAUCUGAAGGCCUAACUCAGCAGACUAGUCAACAGAGCCCAGUUUGACACCAAUUUGCAUGUGGCUUCAUCUUUAGGUUUCCCCAAGGAGGCAGUUAUUUUCACCUGACCAAUUGCUUGGGAUCCCAAAAGGAACAUGAUAGGUUUAGUUUUGGGGGUGAAUUCAUCAGCUUUAUCUGGUUCAUGCAGCCUUAUAAAUUUUUACUGGUAUGGGCUGAGUGAUAUGCGCAAACCUGACUUCUAAAGUUGCAUGGACUCUGUUAUGUAGCAUACAUUCCACCACCUGAUGCCAACCACACACUGCACAGGGUAACACUUUUCUUUCUUUUUUUAAAGUUGUAGAUAGACACAAUGCUUUUUUUUUUUUUUUUGACAUGGUGCUAGGACCAAACCCAGUGCCUCACACAUGCUAGGCAAGUGCUCUACCACUGAGCUACAGCCCCAGCCCAAGUAGCAAGCUUUUAAUAGAAACGGGAUGGAGAAACUGCCCCCUACUCCUCCAGGAACUCAAGAUCCCAGGCUGGGUCAGAGCAGCCUCUAGUUCCAAGUUUCUAACGUGGGAAGUUCUUGGGAUACAGCUGGAAGAGCUUGCCCUCCUGUGUGGGCUCAAAGCCGUACUUUUCCAGGUUGUCAGGACUGAAAGUGCCUUCUUUAAAGUCCUUUUGGAUAGCAGGUGCAACUGUUUCCAGGAAGAGUGCUUUGGCAGUGAGUGGUGUGUCUGUGCCUGCAGGAGCUCGGUAGUUCACAUAGGGCUUGAGCUUGAAGCCAGUCAAGUCUGGGACAACAAAUUCUGGGACCUUUUCCUUUAUCUGCACAAACUUCCAGCCUGAGGCACGGAUGCCUGUGCCCUUGGCGCCCCGUCCCUUGUUAAAGGUGCGCGGCCCUCGUUUACUGGUCCACUUGCUCAUCCUGUCUGCUCCCCGCACCAAGCCUUGAGUCACUGCGGUCAGGAAACCCAUGACGUUCCCUGCAGGAAACAGCUUUGAAAGGUCAGCACCGAGGAUGGCUGAGAAGACCCCGGACCCCGUGGUGGAAAACCUGGACUCAACCCCGAGGGGUAGAGGAUCCAGGUCGGAUCCUCCUU